CCCUUGACUGACAAGGACUCGUGUUACUCGAGCUGAAGAACUUCAGGCCAGGAGGUCAAGUCCGCUGACAUAUUUCUGUGCCUUGAGAAUGGAGUCGCCUCUCUGCUCUCUGCAUUCAUCUCCUUCCAYGUCAUGCCAUG